rnacentral:ncRNA from 1 species
AGGUGCCCGGCAUGCGCCGGGUGAAAAGGGAAGCCGGUGCGAAGCCGGCGCAACAGCCAUUACUGUGAGGAAGAGAAGAGCGUGCCGGAGCCAUUGAACGAAGGUUCGAGAAGGCGGCACGCCGCCGGGCGGAUUUUCCGGCGCUUCCGAGUCAGGAGACCUGCCGCGCG